rnacentral:rRNA from 1 species
AAUAUUGCACAAUGGGGAAAACCCUGAUGCAGCGACGCCGCGUGAGCGAAGAAGGCCUUCGGGUCGUAAAGCUCUGUUUUGAGGGAAGAUAGUGACGGUAGCUCAGGAGAAAGCCCCGGCUAACUACGUGCCAGCAGCCGCGGUAAUAUGUAGGGGGCAAGCGUUAUCCGGAAUCACUGGGCGUAAAGGGUGCGUAGGCGGCUCUUCAAGUCAGGGGUGAAAGGCUACGGCUCAACCGUAGUAAGCCUUUGAAACUGUAGAGCUUGAGUGCAGGAGAGGAGAGUGGAAUUCCUAGUGUAGCGGUGAAAUGCGUAGAUAUUAGGAGGAACACCAGUGGCGAAGGCGACUCUCUGGACUGUAACUGACGCUGAGGCACGAAAGCGUGGGGAGCAAAC